rnacentral:pre_miRNA from 1 species
AGUGGAAUUGCUGGGUCAUAUGGUAGUUCUAUUUUUAAUUUUUUAUGGAACGGCCACAUUGUUUUCCACAAGAGUUGUACCAUUUGCAUUCCCACCAGCAGU